ACAGAACCAACAUGACCAUUAUCCAAACUUGUCGCAUCAUCUGAAUUCUUUGAUACUGAAGAAUAAGAAUACCUUGCAGCUUCAAAUUUACGAAUUGUGGAAUCUUUAGUUAGAUCAUAUUCUUGUACUGAAACAGAGUGACCAUUAAAGGAAGAGCUAGACAUCAGUAAAAGCUCACCAUUGGGACUCACAGAGGAAAAUUGAACAAGUCCUUGGAGCUGCUUUGAAGUGUUUUUUGGACCAGUACUAGUUAGAUAUUUACUUUCAAAUGAAUUUAUUCCACUGACGUGAAUUUGCUCAGCUAAAUCAACUGCACGAAUAACAACUAAAGAGUUGUCUCCCAAAUGCAAAGCAUACGAAUCAGAAUCAUGAGAAGUAGCUAUUGAGAGAAUAGAUGAUCCCAAUCGAGGUAAGAAUUGUCGAUGAGACGUCUCCAUUUGCCAUAAGACAAGAACACCUUCUUGACCACCAGAGAGUAGAUAUUCACCGUUCAAUGCCCAAGAUAAACCAUUCAAUGGAUUUGCGUGCCAAUGAAGGAUUUGAGGAUUAAACUUCUCAUUGCUAAUGUCAUUAAUAACAUGAAUUUUCCCUUCAUCAUCAGAAACAGCACAGGCUGAACCACAUAAGGAAACAUUAGUAAGUUUCUGUGGCAUAUUGAACAGAUGUUCACGAUGAAUCCAUCUUUGGCUCCUUUUCUUUUUAGGAACGUUCAAAGAAAAAAUUGCUUUGUCAGUAGUAAUGACUGCUACCGUGGCUAAAUUGUUAUCUCUGAGACUGCUGUCGAGAGCUAAAAACUCGUUGAACUUAGAGACAAAUGUUGGAAUCAAUAUAGAACUGCCUUCUUUAGAAGUGGAGGGGGAAAGGGCAUAAAGAGUAAAUCGAUCUUGUGAAGAAGCAGAGUCUGAAGCAGGAGUAUCGGUUACAGCAAACAAUAGCUUUCCGGAAAAAGAAGCUGCAUGGACACGAGUGGAAAUCUCCAUGGUGCGCAAAAGUUCAGAAUUCGACCAGUCAUGAACACAGACGUAUCCGCUUUGAAAAAUCACAUAUAGCUCAAAUGCAUUCUCAGGAGACAAUAAUA